GACGAACGCUGGCGGCGUGCCUAACACAUGCAAGUCGAACGGAGAUUUUAGCAAUAAAAUCUUAGUGGCGAACGGGUGAGUAACGCGUAGACAACCUGCCUUCUAGAUGGGGACAACACUGCGAAAGUGGUGCUAAUACCGAAUGUUGUAAUUGGAAUGCAUGUUCUGAUUACUAAAGGUGGCCUCUAUUUAUAAGCUAUCGCUAGAAGAUGGGUCUGCGUCUGAUUAGCUAGUUGGUGAGGUAAUGGCUCACCAAGGCGACGAUCAGUAGCCGGUCUGAGAGGAUGAACGGCCACACUGGGACUGAGACACGGCCCAGACUCCUACGGGAGGCAGCAGUGGGGAAUCUUCCGCAAUGGACGAAAGUCUGACGGAGCAACGCCGCGUGAGUGAAGAAGGUUUUCGGAUCGUAAAACUCUGUUUUCAGGGACGAAUGUGCUGAUUGUAAAUAAUGGUUGGUAAUGACGGUACCUGACAAGAAAGCCACGGCUAACUACGUGCCAGCCGCCGCCGUAACAC
rnacentral:rRNA from 1 species